rnacentral:rRNA from 1 species
UACGGAGGAUCCAAGCCGUUAUCCGGAAUCAUUGGGUUUAAAGGGUCCGUAGGCGUUUAAUAAGUCAGUGGUGAAAGCCCAUCGCUCAACGGUGGAACGGCCCAUUGAUACUGUUAGACUUGAAUUUAUUAGGAAGUAACUAGAAAUAUGUAGUGUAGCGGUGAAAUGCUUAGAGACUUACAUGGAAUACCCAAUUGCGAAGGCCAGGUUACUACUAAUGGAUUGACGCUGAUGGACGAAAGCGUGGGGAGCGAACAGGA